CGUGGAGCGAUUUGUCUGGUUUAUUCCGAUAACGAACGAGACUCUAGCCUACUAAAUAGACUGCACAUUCCUAUUUGGUGUGUUGCGGUGCUUCUUAGAGGGAUUCGCGGAGUUUAUCCGCAAGAGAUUGAGCAAUAACAGGUCUGUGAUGCCCUUAGAUGUCCGGGGCUGCACGCGCGCUACACUGGCGAAAUCAGCGUGCUUGUCCUAUUCCGAAAGGAAAAGGUAAUCCUAUGAAAAUUUGCCGUGAUUGGGAUCGGAAAUUGCAAUUAUUUUCCGUGAACGAGGAAUUCCAAGUAAAUGCAAGUCAUCAACUUGCGUUGAAUACGUCCCUGCCCUUUGUAC
rnacentral:rRNA from 1 species